rnacentral:rRNA from 1 species
GAUGAACGCUGGCGGCGUGCUUAACACAUGCAAGUCGAACGGAAAGGCCCAAGCUUGCUUGGGUACUCGAGUGGCGAACGGGUGAGUAACACGUGGGUGAUCUGCCCUGCACUUCGGGAUAAGCCUGGGAAACUGGGUCUAAUACCGGAUAAGACCACAUUUUGGAUGGUGUGGUGGAAAGUUUUUCGGUGUGGGAUGAGCUCGCGGCCUAUCAGCUUGUUGGUGGGGUAAUGGCCUACCAAGGCGUCGACGGGUAGCCGGCCUGAGAGGGUGUACGGCCACAUUGGGACUGAGAUACGGCCCAGACUCCUACGAGAGGCAGCAGUGGUUAAUAUUGCACAAUGGGCGCAAGCCUGAUGCAGCGACUCCGCGUGGGGGAUGACGGCCUUCGGGUUGUAAACUCCUUUCGCUAGGGACGAAGCGUUAUGUGACGGUACCUGGAGAAGAAGCACCGGCUAACUACGUG